UGCGUAGACUUGGAACCGGGAGAGGUAAGAGGUACUACAGGGGUAGGAGUGAAAGUCUUGUAAAUCCCGUGUGGGACCACCUGUGGCGAAGGCGUCUUACCAGAACGGGUUCGACGGUGAGGACGAAAGCUGGGGGCAACGAACCGGAUUAGACUACCCGGGUAGUCCCAGCCGUAAACGAUGCUCGCUAGGUGUCAGGCAUGGCGCGACCGUGUCUGGUGCCGCAGGGAAGCCGUGAAGCGAGCCACCUGGGAAGUACGGCCGCAAGGCUGAAACUUAAAGGAAUUGGCGGGGGAGCACAACAACGGGUGGAGCCCUGCGGUUUAAUUGGACUCAACGCCGGACAACUCACCGGGGGCGACAGCAAUAUGUAGGCCAAGCUGAAGACUUUGCCUGAAUCGCUGAGAAGUGGUGCAUGG
rnacentral:rRNA from 1 species